rnacentral:rRNA from 1 species
GAGUUUGAUCCUGGCUCAGAUUGAACGCUGGCGGCAGGCCUAACACAUGCAAGUCGAGCGGAAACGAGUUAUUUGAACCUUCGGGGAACGAUAACGGCGUCGAGCGGCGGACGGGUGAGUAAUGCCUGGGAAAUUGCCCUGAUGUGGGGGAUAACCAUUGGAAACGAUGGCUAAUACCGCAUAAUAGCUUCGGCUCAAAGAGGGGGACCUUCGGGCCUCUCGCGUCAGGAUAUGCCCAGGUGGGAUUAGCUAGCUGGUGAGGUAAUGGCUCACCAGGGCGAAGAUGCCUAGGGGGUGUGAGAGCAUGGCCCCCACCACUGGGACUGAGACACUGCCCAGACAUCUACGGAUGGCUGCAGUCGAGAAUCUUUGGCAAUGCACGCAAGUGUGACCAAGCGACGCCGAGUGCUGGAUGAAGGCCUUCGGGUUGUAAACAGCUGUCAGAGGGGAUGAAGUUGUUGGGGGCUAUCCCCCUUCAUUGACAGAGCCUCAGAGGAAGCACGGGCUAAGUUCGUGCCAGCAGCCGCGGUAAUACGAACUGUGCGAACGUUAUUCGGAAUCACUGGGCUUAAAGGGUGCGUAGGCGGCAUCGAAAGUUGGUUGUGAAAGUCCUGNGCUCAACCUAGGGAGGACAAUCAAAACUACGGAGCUAGAGUAGAGUAAAGGAAAGUGGAAUUUCAGGUGGAGCGGUGAAAUGCAUAGAUAUCUGAAGGAACCCCAGUGGCGAAGGCGGCUUUCUGG